rnacentral:lncRNA from 1 species
GUUUAAUAUUGUUGCUCUAUUACUACAGCCAAAGUGAUCAAUUUUAAUGUUAUCAUAAGUUUGUUGAUAAUAUAGAUAUAAUAGAAAUGUACUACUUAGUUCUAAUCAAAUUGUUAUACAGAGAUUUCUGUAUAUUAUUUAAUACAAAGUUGAAUUAUAAAGAUUAUGCAAAUAUCUCUUGGUUCUAAGCCUGGUGAAUUAUAGACACUUCUUGAUUUACAUAAGAGGAUUGUUCUGCAAAACUAGGUAUGUCAGCACAUUUUAUACAGUAACAGUUCCACAAAGAUGGCCAUCAAUUAUUUUUAUUAUUAGAUGUGGUAAAACAGUUGCUUAUCAUCUUGGAGGACUAUAUUUAUUUCAGAGUUUUACAUGAGAAAUCCAGACCUGGCCUUUACUUUAACUUUCUAUCUGAGCCCAUCAUUAGUAUUGGUUAGCCUUUGAUGAACUAAAAAUAGCUGCUGUUAAAUACGAUAUAUCUGAUAUUGCUCAAGGGAUAUAUUGCAUCUGACAGAAGCCACUUUUAUAACUAAAAUCUAGUAAUUGAUGGCAGCAGUUGAUUUUCUUGUAAAUCAGAAAAUUGCUAUAUAAAAGUUGAGGACUGUCUGUAGUGCAUUUGUCUUAAUAUGGCAUAUAUAAAUAGACUGAUUUCAUGGGAAACGCCCACUGCUGUGAUGUCACAAAAUGGCGUCUGUACGGCGGAAAACAAAUUGCAUGUGGUUGCGUGCUUGAAUGUUCUACCAUGACGUCUCUUCAAAAUCUAAAUAAAUUUACAAUCAAAAUAGGCUUUGAUUACUUUAAACACCAUUCAAAUAACAUAAGAAGAUCAAAAGAAGGUGGUUUCUUCUAUUUUUGUGCAAGUUAUAUACAUAAACUUGAAUUGAAAGAAAUAUAUUAUCGGCC